UCUUCCCUCGGCCGUCUGCGUUCUGUCUCUUCCUCUCUCUAUCCUAACUCUUUCUAAACCCUAAAAUUCCUUAAACCAAAUCUGUUAAUUUUUGAAUGAUUUCGAUGAAAUCACUCCGUUUAAAAGCUCUCUCAUAUUCAAAACUUCAUUUUUUACCGAUUCAUUAUGCAAAAAAAAAAAAUCGGAUUAAAUCUUAAAUGAUUUUUUUUACUCCAAUAAUAUUUUUGUGUGUUCUGGUUAAAGCUUCAACUCUUUUGGCUAGAUCUAGUAAAAUGUCUUUGUCAUAUCUCUCUUCUAAUCAAAAUAAUUUUGAUUCGAAAAUAGGUCUUAUCAGAUCUAUUCAUCUUUUAAAUCUGUUAAUUUUUUUUUGAAAGAUCUCCAUCUCAUUUAUAGAUCUUUUAACCCGUUUUAGUCGAUUUUUUUGAAAAAAACUUUAUAAAUUUCUUUACAAAAUCAUGUAUCUUCGAUUUAAUAAUCUUUUUAAUCUAGGGUUUUAAAAUUGUUUCUCAUCUCUCCAAAUUUGUUAAAUUUUUAAAUCUAUUAUUGUCAAAAUAGUCUUCAAAUCUGUUGAGACUCAACUUCAAAUAAUAUUUUUUUGGUUUUCUUCAUCUCAGGCAACUUCUUUGUGAUUACCUAUUUUUGAUAUUUUUUGUCCGAGUACAUUCACUUUCUUCAAGUUGUGUCGGUGGAAUAAUUGUUUGAAAUGUGGUAUUGGGACAUAAUUUUUGUCGUGUAGAAUUGAGUAACUGAUAUUAAUGUUCAACUGUUAUAUCUUAGUAUGUGAUUAUUAUGUGAGCUGAACUCUAUUGUCAUCUGUUGGGAUUAACUUGCCAUAUAUUAACAAUCUACUUAGUACUGUUGGAAUUCUAUUCCUCUGUUUUCAAACUGAAAUUAGUUUUCGAAUGAACUAAAUAGGUUGGUACUCAAUUGAAAUACAUGGUUUGGUCAAAGAUUUUAUAUUGACUUUAUAUUUAUAUACAAAAUUUUAAAUUUAUGUUACACCUAUGUUACUAUUUAACUUAAAUGCUAUAAUGUCUUCGGUAAAGUAAGUUACAGUUGACAGUAUGGCUUGUUUACUUGUAAACCUUUUUAUACAUUUACUGAUAUCAUUAAUGAUCUUUAUGUUGUCACUCCGUAUGUAUCCAUGUCUGUGUAUUAAUUCUUUAGAUGACAUCUUUAGCUAUAAGUUGCAUCUAUAAAACACCCUUGCUAAAAUUUGGGACAUGCAUAUCUCAGUCUAGUAUCCUGCAUACUUCUCUAAGUUUCAUUGCAUAUUUCUUGCAUCCUGCUUGUGUCUUAAUCAUGGAACUUGUUUUUUCAUCUAAACAAAAGAAGCUUGCUUUACACUCUAAAUUAAUACAUCCUUCACUAUGUGUACCUCAUUUGGUUACCAUUUCUGCUCAGGCCAACUAUAUAGGCUCAUGAGACACAGCCUUAUCCCAGGUUUAGGUAUCACUUUUAAUAGUUUUCCUUCCCUACUUGAACAUAUGAUGGGAUUGUUUAGUCAUAUUCAUCUGGUUUAUUAACUAGCAUAAGUACUUAUAUCUAAAGGUCAAACAUAUAUUAUAAAUGAGAAAUUUCUUUUUGAUGCUUUACAUCUUCAUCCAUCCAUAUUAGACUUGCCUAGAAUCAAUGAAUAUUUGCAUCCAAUUGGAAUCUCUGUUAGUGACUGCCUGCUUUUUAAACAAAACCUAUUUAUUGUGACUGAUCAACUUGUACCUGCCUUCUUGUUUGACUUUUCUGUUAAAAGUUGUGUAGUUUUUAGUUGCUGAGUGUCAAUUUUUGGGAAAGAUUGUUAGACAAAACUUUAUGCUAGUGUAAGGGAAGAUAGGAAUAUGUUUCCUUUUGAUUUGGAACUUAUCAAAUGUAUUUUGACCGAGUGCAUGCCCUAAAAUUUAACAUACUUUCUCUUAACCUCAUUUGAAUUUUGUUUUCAUAAUAACUGUCUUGGAUAUGGUCUCUUUCUUACACGUCUUCAAACAUAUGUAAAUCAAUGUCGAUCAUAAUCAGUCUCAACUUGUCUCAAAUACCAAUAUUAUGUCUCACUUGAAUCUUACUCCUAAAUCUAUGAUAGUAUUUGAACCUCAUGCUCAUGAAGUUAUUGAGUCAAUAUUAAUAUGGCCUCAAAGUUAAACACACUCAAUAACAUGAAUCAAUUCAUAUUGCAUAACCAAAGUAACCUAAUGGAGAAAAUAAAGAUAUGCAACAGUCUUAAGGAUAUAGUGCGUUUCUUGAUGAAAAAUCAAAAUCUUUCUAUGCCUCCGUAUCAUUUUUCUGCCUGUACAAGCUCUGCGCAAAUUGAAAUUUUGGAACACUCUCAACCAGAUGCUAAUUUGCCAGCCCUUAACCUGCACUUCUCUUAUAUUAAUUUAGACGAAGUUUAACUAUUUGGUAUGAAUGUAAUAAUAUACUACUAACUAUUCGAAUUAUUGUAACUAAUUAUUAAACUUCCAUGUGAUGAAUAUAACUUUGAUUGCAUUGGAUAAGUUCAAAAUUCAAAAUUUUGAUCAAUCUAUGCUCAGUUGGGGAUUCUUCUAUAGAAUUUUUUUUUAGUAAUUUUCAUCAUAAAAAAGGGGGAGAUUUAUGUCUUCAACUUUUAGAAUUAUUUUGAUGAUAACAAUAAAUAGCAAAUAGGUUAAAUAAAAAUUAGAAUCAUCUCCAUAUGUAUAUUCUAAUUAUUUUAAUUAUCUUAUUUACUUUGACCUAAAAUAUUUUUAAAAUCUUAUUGAAUUGAUUUUCUUGACCUUGAUAAUUUAAUAUCGUGUUAAAAAAAUUAGUUCAUAAAGCAACAUUUUCUAACAUGUAAUAAAUUGCAUACAUAGAGCGGAAGUGUGAAAAAUCAAAGUUUUAAAAUUAUACAAAUUAUUUGCUCGGAUUUUCUUUUAUGCACAAUUAUUAAUUAGAUGAAAAGAGAUGAAGAUUAGAUUCAUACCUUUGCAGAAAUUAGUUUUCUUAGAUAUUAGUUCACCUCUAAUUUUUCUUCAUAUUUAACUUAAGUUCAUCGGGUUUGAUUCGUUCUUUUUAUCAAUGUUAGUUACUCAAAUGUUUGGUCUCUAGAGGUGAUCCACCAAGAAAGUACAAAUAUUUAAGAAGAUUGGUGUUUGACAAAAUCCUAAUUCUAUUUUUAUAGAAUAUGUAAGUACUCUCUCAACUUUUGGAAGUAUCAUUC
rnacentral:lncRNA from 1 species